UACGUAGGGCGCAAGCGUUGUCCGGAAUUAUUGGGCGUAAAGAGCUCGUAGGCGGCUCGUUGCGUCAAUCGUGAAAACCCGGGGCUUAACUUCGGGCUUGCGGUUGAUACGGGCGGGCUGGAGUUCGGUAGGGGAGACUGGAAUUCCCGGUGUAGUGGUGAAAUGCGUAGAUAUCGGGAGGAACACCAGUGGCGAAGGCGGCUUUCUGGCCUGCUCUUGACGCUGAGGCGCGAAAGCUAGGGUAGCAAACGGG
rnacentral:rRNA from 1 species